rnacentral:tRNA from 1 species
UGGGGUGUCGACAAGUGGCUAAGUCAACAGAUUUUGAUUCUGUCAUUCGAAGGUUCGAGUCCUUCCACCCCAG